rnacentral:rRNA from 1 species
AUUGAACGCUGGCGGCAUGCUUUACACAUGCAAGUCGAACGGUAACAGGCCGCAAGGUGCUGACGAGUGGCGAACGGGUGAGUAAUGCAUCGGAACGUGCCCAGUCGUGGGGGAUAACGCAGCGAAAGCUGUGCUAAUACCGCAUACGAUCUAUGGAUGAAAGCGGGGGACCGUAAGGCCUCGCGCGAUUGGAGCGGCCGAUGUCAGAUUAGGUAGUUGGUGGGGUAAAGGCUCACCAAGCCAACGAUCUGUAGCUGGUCUGAGAGGACGACCAGCCGCACUGGGACUGAGACACGGCCCAGACUCCUACGGGAGGCAGCAGUGGGGAAUUUUGGACAAUGGGCGCAAGCCUGAUUCAGCAAUGCCGCGUGCAGGAAGAAGGCCUUCGGGUUGUAAACUGCUUUUGUACGGAACGAAACGGCGAGCUCUAAUACAGUUUGCUAAUGACGGUACCGUAAGAAUAAGCACCGGCUAACUACGUGCCAGCCGCCACCGUAAGAC